rnacentral:rRNA from 1 species
AGUGAACGCUGGCGGUAGGCCUAACACAUGCAAGUCGAACGGCAGCACAGUAAGAGCUUGCUCUUACGGGUGGCGAGUGGCGGACGGGUGAGGAAUACAUCGGAAUCUACUUUUUCGUGGGGGAUAACGUAGGGAAACUUACGCUAAUACCGCAUACGACCUACGGGUGAACGCAGGGGAUCUUCGGACCUUGCGCGAUUGAAUGAGCCGAUGUCGGAUUAGCUAGUUGGCGGGGUAAAGGCCCACCAAGGCGACGAUCCGUAGCUGGUCUGAGAGGGUGAUCAGCCACACUGGAACUGAGACACGGUCCAGACUCCUACGGGAGGCAGCAGUGGGGAAUAUUGGACAAUGGGCGCAAGCCUGAUCCAGCCAUACCGCGUGGGUGAAGAAGGCCUUCGGGUUGUAAAGCCCUUUUGUUGGGAAAGAAAAGCAGCAGGUUAAUACCCCGCUGUUCUGACGGUACCCAAAGAAUAAGCACCGGCUAACUUCGUG